GUGACGUCAUCAGGAAUGGCCAGAAGUGACAUCUUGAUGGUGGAGCUAGAAGUGAUGUCAUCGAAGGAUUGUUGACCUGGGAUUGUGGCCAUUUUAUGAAACCGGAAGUCGGGCUCAAGGUCAGUGUGUGAAAUAUUCCAUGGUAGUCGGUGGAGUCCCUUUGGCUGAAUACCUGAAUACUGGACCACUUGCUCUGAGAUCAGGAGACUUUUUCUGCUGCCUCUUUCAUAGUUCUGAUGGCUUGACUCUUACCCACACCAGUGAUGCCCAGAAGAUUGCAAGCUUUCCACAGAGACAAUGUUGCAAAGCCUCUGCAGCCCACCAUGUGUGUCACCCAUGCCUGCGACUCUCUUCCUCCAGCCCUAAAUACUUGGCUUUCAGGUGCUCGUGGGCUUCCUUCAUCCUCUCCCUGCAAGGAAGUGUGAGUUCCAGAAUGACCACCUUGCUUGGAUAGUUCUAAGAAUAAGACCAUGCCAGGCCUCAAGUUGGCUUCUGUGAUUCUGGCUGGGAAUGGAAACUGCUUCUCCAAGUAUACCUUCAACUGCCAGUGAGUUAUGAUUGCAGAGAUGAGACCCACUGUUGUCACCCCUCACCCAGUGCGUUCAGGAAACUGCUCAGAAUGUGCUUGAACACCCCUAAUCCCCUUCUCUGGUACAAGGGACAUUUUGGAGAUUCAACCUUUCCCCAGUGGAAAAGGUUGGAUGGACUGGGCUGGAUGUCAUUGACUGAAUGUAUCAAGAGCUUGAUGCUGAAAGGCUCCACUAGCCACAGCUCAGACCAGGUGAUCUUAUGGCCCAUUCCUAUUUCAAUCAUGCAGCCUAUCAGAACCACCAAAAAGACAGAUCAAAUGGCAGCAGUUUGUUCAAAAUUCAGCAGUAUGAAUGUUAGGUUGCAGACAGAAAAAAGUGCCUGAAAAAUGUUACCUCUAUUAGCAUAGCUUCACUGACUGCCUAUGUCUCCUUAGGAUUGAUUUUAAAUUAAUUUUAAUCAUGUUUAAGGCUUUGAAAAAAUUUGCACCUUCCACGUGGUUGGGUGCAGCAACCUGCUAUCAGCGCCUGCUCCCAACCUGUGUUUCCACAUCCACAAUCGAAAUCUCAGAUCUUUGAACGCUGGCUCUCUCAGAGUUCGGAAGGUGAAGCAUUAAAGAACUGGUGAAACAAUGCUUUACUUUUUAUGCACCAAUAAUCUGGAACAUAUUUAUUCA